rnacentral:rRNA from 1 species
AUGAGUCAUCCGGCCUACGGUGAUGCGUGGCAGGAUUUCGAUAAAAAAUAUAAAAAAAUUGCAGAAGAUGCCAGAAACAUGAGGCUUGGCAUUGCCACUGAUGGGUUCAAUCCUUUCGGAAACUUCAACACAAGCUAUAGUCCCAAAUCACCUGGCAAGCACUUCGAUGUCUUUCUACAGCCACUUGUAGAAGAUUUACUUGAGCUUUGGAAGGGUGUGCGUACAUAUGAUGCUUAUAGCGGAAAAAUGUUUGAUCUUCAUGCUGCAGUUCUAUGGUGCAUUCACGAUCACCCAGCGCUGAGCACUCUUUCAGGGCGUACUACAAGAGGCUAUGCUGCAUGUAUUCAUUGUGACAAACACCCUCUUUCGUACGGCCUAAGGAGCAAAAAUGGAUAUAUUGGACACUACCGUUUUCUUCCAAAGGGACAUCGUUUGCGAAGAAACAAUGAAUUUGUUGGUCUUCAUGAACGCAAUGAUGAGCCGGGUAAAUUCUCCAAGGAAGAGCUGCAAGUAGAAUUCGAGAAGGUUAGACCCGGGCAACAACAAGAAAGCAGGAAAAGGCUCAUGUGCCAAUUUGGAGCCUGA